CCUACGGGAGGCAGCAGUGGGGAAUAUUGCACAAUGGGGGAAACCCUGAUGCAGCGACGCCGCGUGAGUGAAGAAGUAUUUCGGUAUGUAAAGCACUAUUAGCAGGGAAGAUAAUGACGGUAACCGAUUAAGAAGCUCCGGCUAACUACGUGCCAGCAGCCGCGGUAAUACGUAGGGGGCAAGCGUUAUCCGGAUUUACUGGGUGUAAAGGGCGCGUAGGCGGCAGCGCAAGUCAGGAGUGAAAUGCCGGGGCUUAACCCCGGAACUGCUUUUGAAACUGUGCAGCUAGAGUGCAGGAGAGGUAGGUGGAAUUCCUGGUGUAGCGGUGAAAUGCGUAGAUAUUGGGAGGAACACCAGUGGCGAAGGCGGCUUACUGGACUUUAACUGACGUUGAGGCUCGAAAGCGUGGGGAGCAAACAGGAUUAGAUACCCGGGUAGUC
rnacentral:rRNA from 1 species